UUUGCCCCUGAGGCGUUGCAGUCAUACUGUUUUGGUAUUGACUGUGUCAGACGGUGGCAUAGAACAAAUGGGUCUGGACUGUUUGUACUUGGCACCAUCAAUGUCAUCGGUGCUUGGUUUCAUCAGUUGACCCAAACAA